rnacentral:rRNA from 1 species
UACGUAGGUGGCAAGCGUUUGUCCGGAUUUAUUGGGUUUAAAGGGUGCGUAGGCGGCCCCGUAAGUCAGUGCUGAAAUAUCCCGGCUUAACCGGGAGGGUGGCAUUGAUACUGCGAGGCUUGAGUAAAGUUGAGGUAGGCGGAAUUGACGGUGUAGCGGUGAAAUGCUUAGAUAUCGUCAAGAACACCGAUAGUGUAGACAGCUUACUAAGCUUUAACUGACGCUGAGGCACGAAAGCGUGGGGAGCGAACAGG